ensembl:lincRNA Gm53 predicted gene 53
GGAAUCGGUAGCCUCCCGCCCAAGGUCUGCAGGCUUUCUUCCGUUCUUGGGCUCUUUGGGCCUCGCCCCUCCCUCUCACAUUCCCAACUCCCAAGGACAACUUGUCGCUGGCUUCAGACGCCCGCCCUGCCUGAGGUUUCCUUGUGUCCCGGACUCUGCUGUUUUUCUUUUGUCUAAUUUGUCCAUUUCUGCACUUGGCAAUUUCUUGGGAACUAACUUGAAUCUACUUCUCCCUUGUCUGUAAUAGUCUCUUCUCUCUCUCUCUCUCUCUCUCUCUCUCUCUCUCUCUCUCUCUCUCUCACACACACACACACACACACACACACACACACACACACACACACUGUCUUCUUUUCUUCCUCUUAGCCAUCUCUGGGUCUUCCAGCUGGCUCUGGCCUGUCCCUGGCACCUCCCAGCUACCUACUGAUCCGACGGCGCCCAAGCCGGUAUAGGCUGGUAAGACUGCUCCCGGGAAGGAGGCUCCGGGAUGAUCCACGCGGCCGCGCCCCGCACCCACCGGCGGCGCCACGGAGACGCAGAGUUCUCCAGAUCCUCCAAGCGCCGUCGGCGCCACCACUCCAGACACUGUUCACGAGGCCUCAAAGCGUGGAGGCGGUGGCCCGGGGCCGACUCUCGGGUGACCGCCAAUUUGGUCCCAAGACACUUCAGGAUCUCGCAACGGAUGGAGGACAGCGCGGUUCCAAGAGAGGGCGCCAAAGGCGACGCGCUGGCGGCCAGCUCCAAGCCAACCAGGCCCAUUGCGUCCGUCUGCAGGAACCUGUCCCUUCACCCUGCUUUGGACACUGAGCUUCGGAGGAUCUGGCUGCGAGCUGAUUCAACGCCAGGGCGCCGCCUAGAGGACAAGAGGGGAUAUAAACUGUUUGAAGUUCAUCAGCACGGUGAAGUUUUAUUGUAUUUCCGGUCCCUAAAAGAGAAGCCGGCAGCCAGGCAGACUCCCUCCUUAUCUCCGAGUUUCCACGCCAGGGACACACACGUGGCCAAGCGGACACUUGCCUUCGGGAGCAGGGAGGGAGAGAGCCCGCUCCGAUCGACUCUCCCUCACCGGCUCAGGUAAGUCUAAGAGGCCUCUGAUAGUUGUGGCAUCAACUGAGCCACAACCUGUGAGGAUGUGCGAAGUGACUUUGUAGGGAUGGAAGAGAGCGGGAGACA